GGGUCUUACAUAUAUUUUGUGUGUGUGUGUGUGUAGACAUAGGUGUAGGUGUUUGUUUGAAUGGAGUCGAAAGUAAAAAGACACCACCACAUACCAAAACCUGAAGAGCAUGGCAACAACCCAGUGGUGAUGGUGUUGUUGUUUCUUAAACAAAAACAAAAGUUGGCUAUUGUUUUGGGUGCAAUUGUCGUGGUAUUCCUUUUUACGUAUUUGGCUCUUUUGACCACCAGCCAAAAUGCGCAACAUAUUAACCUGCGCCAGGAUCCUCCGGCUCAAACAUUCUACGACGAUCCCAAUUUAAACUAUUCCAUUGAAAAUACU
rnacentral:lncRNA from 1 species